GGCUGGAAGCUGUUUGAUAUGUUUGAUAUUCGGUUGUUUAUGUGCUUUGUCCUGUCAACUAAAUAUCAGACAUAUUCCUACAGAGUCCAGCA
rfam:Takifugu rubripes chromosome, Chr_7